rnacentral:tRNA from 1 species
GCCGGGGUGGCGGAAUUGGCAGACGCGGCGGACUUAAAAUCCGCUGGAGCAAUCCUUGUGGGUUCGAGUCCCACCCUCGGCACCA